GGAGGAUGAGGAGGUUUCAUGCCGAGCCGGAGAAGUAGUCGGCCCGAGAGAAUCGCGGAGCUCUCAGCUGUCCGGCCACCUCGAAAACCGGCGCCCGAACCCACAUUCCGAUACAGCGUGCGCCUAUUCUUUGUGUUAGUGUAUGUGUGUCUUUGUGUGUAUGUGUUUAUAUAUAUACAUAUAUAUAUAUAUAGACACACGUGUGUCUUUUGUGUGUAUGUGUCUCGAAUGUACAUAUAAGUACGACUUAUAAAAGAUGGAAGGAAAGUGACUCGCAUGGUUAAAACUCUAAGGGACUCCAUAUUUGCGCUAUUCUCGUCAGGCGCCGUUCUAAAUGCCAGUAGCUUUAGUAACGUAGUUCGUUGGAGGAGCAGGAUAAAGGUGAAGAAAAAUUUUCAUACGACGUCGUCCUCGCUCGAAGGAAGAGUAUAAGAAGAAGUAGAAGAAGAAGAAGUACAAGAAGAAGUACAAGAAGAAGAAGUACAAGAAGAAGAAGAAGAAGAAGAAGAAGAAGAAGGAGAAGUGGAAGAAGAAGGAGUGUUUCGAGAAUAAACGUUUCUCUCAUCGACAUAUACACAGAGACAACACUGAGAUACAAAUACAGAUAGAGAGGGGACAGAGGACACAGGGACACCACGCGUAUGUAAGCGUGUUUAAAGUGGACGCAUGACAAAGGAAGCAAAUUUAAUAUGAACCAGCUAUGGACUGACUCGACGCCAAUGAAACGAAAAUAUGCGCGAUCGCGUAACGUUCGAUCGAAUAAACAAUGAAUUCAUGAAUGAGGAAGAGAGAGAGAGAGAGAGAGAGAGAGAGAGAGAGAGAGAGAGAGAGAGAGAGAAGAAUGAAUAAAAGGAACAAAAAUAUGUUUAUGCAACUCGCGUUCAACUAAGUAAUUACGAUCGUUUGUAUUCGAAAGAGACACACGCAUAUAGACACGAUAUACACAUAUAUACAUAUAUAUGUAUACGCACAUAGAAUGAAAUACUUCAUACGCAUACUAUAUAUAAAAACGUAAGAGAGCGUAAAUAGAUGUGUAUAUAUAUAUAUAUAUAUAUAUAUAUAUAUAUACACCCCGUUAAAUGUACUACUCGCACACGUUGUCGUUUUUUCCUUUUUUUUUAAUACAGGAAGAAAAAAAAUAUGUAAACGAGACGCUCCCUAACUCGUGAUCUAUCGAUCGAUCUAUCGAUCGAUCUAUCGAUCCUAAACGAUUCGUACGAGAAUAAGUUUUUUCUUUUUCUCUCUCUCUCUCUCUCUCUCUCUCUCUCUCUUUCUUUUUUACGUUCAGAGGACGAAUAAUUUUAUAAAUGAUAUAACUAUAAAAGUAUAAUAUAUAUGUAUUUUUUUUUUCUUUAAAGCAGCGAAAUUAAAUUAAUUCGAUGGGAAUAAUAUUAGUAUUAGUAUUAGUAGGAUCGUAUCUAUGUAUAAUAUAAUAUAUUGCCAAAGAAUCGUCUACCUUGAAGCGGCAAUUUAGCGAACGAAUGAACGAACGAACGAACAAACGAACGAACGAACGAACGAACGAACGAACGAACGAACGAUCGAUCGAUCGAUCGAUCGAUCGAUCGUUAUAAUCAUCGCGAUAAUGUAAUUACCGGUGUUACAUAACAGCAACUAUGCGAGCGUUAGGAUAGAUAGAUACAUGGACUAUUACUAUCUAUAGUACACUAACGAUGCGUUUGACGUGCGUUGAGUAUAAUUACUAAAAUGACAUGGCACGGUCGCGCUUUGCCCGGUCGAACAACAUUAUGACGAUAUUAAAUCGUGGCCCUCCUCGUUAUAAUCUUCAUUCAUUUUAUUAUUUUAUUUUUUUUUUUCUUUUCUUUCUUUUAGUUUGAUGAUUUUCAAAAGAAACGAUAUCGUUCAAAUAAACGACAAUUAACUCAUCGUAGUCCUCCUCGUAAUCUUCGUAAUCAUCGUAGUAAUACUCAUCGUUUCUUUGGUCAGAAUUACUCCGAUGCCGUGUUCUCAUUUAAUUAAGAGUAAAAAAGAUAGAGAGAGAUAGAUAGAUAGAUAGAUAGAUAGAUAGAGAGAGAGAGAGAGAGAGAGAGAGAGAGAGAGAGAGAGAGAGAGAGAGAGAGAGAGACGAUGG